rnacentral:rRNA from 1 species
UAACGGCGAGUGAAGCGGCAAAAGCUCAAAUUUGAAAUCUGGUACCUUCGGUGCCCGAGUUGUAAUUUGGAGAGGGCAACUUUGGGGCCGUUCCUUGUCUAUGUUCCUUGGAACAGGACGUCAUAGAGGGUGAGAAUCCCGUGUGGCGAGGAGUGCGGUUCUUUGUAAAGUGCCUUCGAAGAGUCGAGUUGUUUGGGAAUGCAGCUCUAAGUGGGUGGUAAAUUCCAUCUAAAGCUAAAUAUUGGCGAGAGACCGAUAGCGAACAAGUACAGUGAUGGAAAGAUGAAAAGAACUUUGAAAAGAGAGUGAAAAAGUACGUGAAAUUGUUGAAAGGGAAGGGCAUUUGAUCAGACAUGGUGUUUUGUGCCCUCUGCUCCUUGUGGGUAGGGGAAUCUCGCAUUUCACUGGGCCAGCAUCAGUUUUGGUGGCAGGAUAAAUCCAUAGGAAUGUAGCUUGCCUCGGUAAGUAUUAUAGCCUGUGGGAAUACUGCCAGCUGGGACUGAGGACUGCGACGUAAGUCAAGGAUGCUGGCAUAAUGGUUAUAUGCCGCCCGUCUUGAAACACGGAC